UCUUUUAAAGGAUAAUAGUGUUCCACUAGUCUUAGGCACUAACAACUCUUGGUGCAACUCCAAGUGAAAGUA
rnacentral:tRNA from 1 species